UACUCGGGGUGCUGAUACCCAAAAGGUAAAGGCUGAGAUUACACCCAUUGAACCUGAUACGGACAAUGCCGACGCAGGGAGAAGAUAUU
rnacentral:ncRNA from 1 species